rnacentral:tRNA from 1 species
AGUUUUAUAUUCUAUUUAAUAAAGAAAUUAAGUUGCAAACUUAAAAAAAUAAUUUUAAUUAAUUAUUAAGACUU